rfam:Aedes albopictus isolate Foshan contig77035, whole genome shotgun sequence.
UAGCCUAGUGAUUAAGGCUAUGGAUCGCCAAUCCGGAGACGGCGGGUUCAAUUCCCGU